rnacentral:misc_RNA from 1 species
GUUCCCAUUGAUGACAUUCUUUGAACAUACUUUGGUGUAUAUAAAAACAUAGUCUUGGAAAUGAAAGGAAAGCCGACUUGUGCAGCACGGCGAUUCUAAAAUCCGAGUUGCCUCGAGAGUUAUCCAAGACUACAAAAUGUGCACAGGUGGAGAGAUAAAGAUGACGGACGAGCACAUGCUUCGAAAAGCCAGCUAACAGCCACAUCAGGUUUAUUCAAUAAUGAUCCUUCCGCAGGUUCACCUACGGAAACCUUGUUACGACUUUUACUUCCUCUA